ensembl:lncRNA novel transcript
AUCCACAAGCCAAGGAAUGCCCAGGUCAGCCAACGGCAUUGGAGGCUGAGAGAAAGGCCUGGAGCAGACUCUCCCCUAGAGCCUCGGUGGAGAGCAUGCCUUGCUGAUGCCUUGAUUUCUGACUUUUCACCUCCAGACUGGGAGGGAAUGAAUUUCUGUUGUGAUGAGCCACCCAGACUGUGACCCGUUGUCACAGCAGUCCCAGGGGAUUAACACCAAGAGCCCCUUCCUGGCACCAUUAUCAGAAGCUGCUCAGAGGAAAAAUUGGGUUUUAGUUGUCAUCUUGUUGCUUGUCUGUGCUUCUGAAAUUACAGUUAAGUGAGCAUCCAAAGGCUCUUCUCAAUCCCAAAGCCCACCCCUCCGCUUCUGCCCUUCAAGUGGUAUCAGUGGAGCACUGCGUGGUUAGGACUUUCGGCGUAAGAGACAAUUAAUCAAAGUUAAUGGACACUUCUUUGUUACACAACACGACUAAUGUCAAUGGCAAACAAAUCACUGAAAAACAAUGACCAAUAAACCCAACUGAAAGGUUUUUCCAUUGAAAAUAAAAUCAACCAUGCCUAAUCU